UCUCAAUUCACACGUACACCCCCACUCUUCCCUAGCUGAAUCCUUAUUUUCGGAACACACAUUGUCAUGCCGUGGAAAGUCGUCUUCUCCUUGUCACCACUGAGCAUCGUGCUUGGAAUUAUUGCGGCCUUGGCUUCCUCACAGUCGUAAGUCAAGUUCUCUUCCACACCGUCAUCAGUCAAGUUCUCUUCCACACCGUCGUCGUGCUCGUUGAGGAUUUUAAGAUGCCCAGAAAAGCUCGCUACACGAAAGGCACAAGAGUGUUACCACCACAUCAGCAACCUCCAACUACACCUCCUACGUCUUCACGAUCCGCUGAUGAUGACUGGCUCAUCCUUCUGCCCCCCAGUAAUGCUGGUGUCGCCGCAGCGGCUCCUCUCCGACCCUUUUGUCUGCCCCGAAGCGAACCAAGACCUAAGCCACAGACCGCUAAUGGUGUACAAGUGACGGAACCGUGCAAUGAAGACAUGGACCCAGAGGCGAAUGAGGUAGAUUUGUUUGACGAACACAUUGAUAGGAUGUUUGCUGCUUCUGAUGCUGAAAAGCGCAAAGGAUGAAAGACUACUGAGUUUUGGGAUGUUGAUCUCAUUGAUUCUGAUGGAAUAGUCAAGUAAGCAACAAUGAAUGUGAGGGAGGCUAUGGAGCGGCCUCUUAAUGGUAGCAAGAUCAUAAUGAGGUUCAAUGAGGAACUGCAAGCAGUCGGAAAUGGAGCUAGCCUGUUGAGUGGCAUUCUUGGAGCGCUGGGUUCUUAUUACAAAAAAUUUUCUAAGUGUGGGAAGAGUUGGGUAAAGGUGCAUGGCAAAGACAAGGUUUAUGAUGAUUGCAUAAAAGUAAUAACUUCCGGCAUUGUUUAAUCAUAUCAAACCUUUCAACUUACAGUUACUUACAGCUGGACAUUGUCGUCACAGGAGAUGUUCCACUUUUAGGAAGAUAGUGGUGGUAGAAUCAAGAAAAUAUUUUUGCAAUAAAUGGAGAGGUCCUGGAAGGAUACAAGGGGGAGGUUGUAUGACACGCAUUACAAACCAACUGUAACACCCUAACUUUUAUAAAAUACCCAUUUUUAUCCUUGUACUUUAUUUAAUUACAAAUUGUAUCUCAAUUUUUAUAUACAAAUACAAUGUUACCUUUCAAAAACAAAGUUUAA